UACGUAGGGGGCAAGCGUUGUCCGGAAUCAUUGGGCGUAAAGAGCGUGUAGGCGGCCCGAUAAGUCCGCCGUGAAAGCCCAGGGCUCAACCCUGGGAUGCCGGUGGAUACUGUCGGGCUAGAGUUCGGAAGAGGCAAGUGGAAUUCCUGGUGUAGCGGUGAAAUGCGCAGAUAUCGGGAAGAACACCCGUGGCGAAGGCGGUUCUCUGGGACGGUACUGACGCUGAGACGCGAAAGCGUGGGGAGCGAACAGG
rnacentral:rRNA from 1 species